rnacentral:lncRNA from 1 species
AUAAAGUGAACUAAAGUUGUAUUUUCUUUAAUGUUUAUCAAUUGGCUUCAAAAAAACCAAAUGUCAACAUUAUGCAGAAGUAAGCACUAUUUUUUUCAUUAUUCCGUUUUUUUUUUUAAUUUUUGUUCUCCAGUUAUUAUAGUGAAAUUUUUUUGUUAUGCUGUGUAUCAGUGUAUUAAUUCUUUUAAGAAUCUUUGUUAAAUCCAUUGUUUCUAGCCUCCAAUUUUAUUUUAUCAGGUACAAAUACUGGAACAUUACAGUAUUCUCUUUUAAUUACUGAUUAAGGUAAUUAAAGGAUUAGACGUUCCCUAACUCAUUUGUUUUAAUUUUUAAACUUCAGGGGUCUAUUCUGGCACAUUUUAAUGUGCUUUAAGAAGCAAAAACUAGUCUUAAGCAGCUCUUGCUGUUUAAUUAGAAGAACUGGUAAGAACCAAGGCCUCAGUGAUUGCAUGAGCAGUGACUGUUGCAGUCACCGGGGAGCUCCAAGUGUUUCCUGUGCUCCUGGUUCUUUUCAGACUGGGAAGAAGAGCAGGUCAGCAGCCCAAAUAUUCUGCGCCUUAUUUAUCAAGGACGAUUUCUACAUGGAAAUGUCACAUUAGGAGGUAGGUAAUAAUUACUUUUGUAAUGGGAUUUAAUGCCCUUCUUAUGGCAGUGUAUUCAUUUGUUUAAAUGCUAAUAUCUGAUUCUACUAAAAAACUUUUUUCGAACUGUGAAUUUUGUCCAAUUUUUGAUAUGUUUCCUUUUUUUACAUUUUGUGUUGUUUAGUUUUAGCACUCUGGUACGUGUUCACUACCUUGUAAAAUAAACUCUAAGCCUGUAUAGACGGAGGUCCAUACCUGUUAUUUUAUAAAUGUACUCUUAAUUGUACUUCUGGAUAAUAUAAUUCAGAUGUGAUUUUUUAAAGUUAAAAUCAGACAUACAAACAAGGAAAUGUUUAUGAUAUGGAUUUGCAAAUACAACAAUGAAGGGAUGUUUUCAGUUUAGCUCUCACUGAUACCGUUGCCGGUCAUGCAGGAAUUGAGUAACAUUAGAGAAACAGUGUAAUGUAGUGACUGAAAGAGCAGGGUUUAGAGCCAGAUUGUCCAACUUGUGUCUUAGCUCCCUCCACUGCUCUACUGUCUCUAACCUUGAGCAAGUUAUGUCACUGCUUUGCGUCCUAGUUUCCUCAUCGGUAAAUUGAGAUAAAAAUAGUACCUACCUCAGAGGUUGGGAGGGUUAAAUUGGUUUAUAUUCAAAGCACCUAGAACAGUGCUUGGCACACAUUAAACCCUUUAAAUGUUACCCAUUCCUGCUCUUAAUAUGUGAACGGAGAGAGGUAGCUCAAUAGUGCCCCCUCAUGGGGGUACAUUUUCUACCAUCAGCAUGUAUUGUAUUUGAAAUCUGUAGGCAGAUGAUCUACUUUAAUAUAUUUUUGUUUAUAUAUAGUCAUGAUAUGUUCCCUCUACACCUAAAAAUUGGAUUUUUUAACCUGUUUUUCCUUAAAGGUAGAAUAUUUUCAUUCAUUCAGCAUGUAUUUAUUUCUUAUGUGCCAACGCUAUGCUAAACAUUUGGAGAUACAGGGUUGAACAAGAUAGGAUCUCUUCCUUCGCAGUGCUCCAAUAUUAAUUACAUAGUGGACACAGAUAAAAUUCAUUGUUAAAAUACAGUGUGGGAGAGGCUGGAGGAGGUGGAUGCAAAUGAUGACGAUGAUGACAGUAUCGAGGAGAUUGAACAUUUCAGUGCAUAGUUGCACACAGAGCCCGAUUCUGGUGGCACUGGUAAUGCUGACCUGAAAGGUAAUGCUGCGCAUUAAGGGGUGCCUGCCAUUUAAAAUACGGCUUCUUGGUUUGUUUGAGGUGUUUUGGUUUUUGUUUGUUUGUUUUUGACGGUCUGAGCCCCACAUAAGCUCUUGUUAUAUUGAUUGGUAAGUGUUGAUUGAAUUUAAUCUGUUGACUACAUAAAUGAGUCUCGAGACCCCAUUUCACUUUGGGUGUUGAUCUAUGCGAGCAGUCUCUCACCAGCUUAAUUUUUUCACUACCUUUCUGUUACGACUCCAAAGCUCCAACCUCAUAAUAAAUAUUGUAGAAUUUGUGGUAAAAUUAACCUAUUGAUUGUUUUGGAGUUUGUUUUUGAAUAAUUAACAGAUUGACUUAUGUUAUUAUUGUCAUUCUUUGUUGCCGUUAAUCUUUUUCAAAAGCCAAACAAACCAUCUCUGGCCUUGGUGAUUUGGACAAGUAGCAUAGGAGUAAGAUCCUAGACCUUUCAAGUUGAUCAGUGUACCUGGGUAAUAACAUUCGACUGUUUGUGGGGUGUUGAUCGCUGUUUUUCUCUUGUCUCCCGGAAUUCUGGAACGUGGGUGAAAAGGAGACACUGCAUAGAGUCGUGUGGCUGAAUGGCUAGUGUGGAGAAACCUGGGCUUGCUUCACAUGGCUUGAGACUUGCUCUGUAUGUAUAACUCUGUAGGCAAAGGAUACUUAUUUUUACAUGCAGAUUUCUGGGAGUUCCCACUAUGGUGCAGUGGGUUAAUGAUCCAGCUUGCUCUGUGGAGGCAUGGGUUCAGUCCCCAGCCUGGCACAAUGGGUUAAGGGUAUGGCAUUGCUGCAGCUGUGGCAUGGGUCUCAGCUCCGUCUUGAAUUUGAUCCCUGGCCUGGGAACUUAUAUGUCGUAAGGGUGGCCAAAAAAGGGGGAAAAAAAGAAAAAAAAAUACAGGUUUCCACAUGCACGCUCCCUGCCUCCCCCAUCCCAGUCUGCUACCGUUGUGAAACCCAGUGAUGGACGAGGGAAGACCUCUCUCCUGGACACUGUGCAGUGUGGCAGUAGAAGGCAGAAGCACCACCCUGAGGGAGAGAGAAAGCUGCUUGGAUCUGAUACCCUCUUCCUUUACCUUCUCUGAUACUGGGAGCAUAAUACCUGCUAUUUCUAGUUAAAACUCAGCUAGAGGAGAAGGAUCAUAGUCCCCAUCAUUCAGAUUUGUAGCUUCAAAUGGGCAGCCCCUCAGCAGCUUUUAGGCCUGUCCAGCGUGGCUGCCAGUGUACCCCUCGGUUCACGGUUCACUUACCUGUGCUCCGAGAGGCCUCUUCCUUGCUGCCCGGAGUGAUGAUGACGAUGACGGUAAGGUUUACAGGCUGCUUUUCUGUGCCGAGCCCUGAGGUAAGCACUUUCCUGGGAUUGUUUGUUUUAAUCAUUGCAAAGGCCCCGCUGGUGGAAUUACUAUCUCCAGUUUAGGUGGCGGAAACUGAGGCAUUGGGAGGGGUUAAAAACUCUCAUAGCAAAUCUCACAGUCAGUAAAUAGCAGGGCUCUGGCUUAGCAGAGGCAGUGUGGUACGUGGCCAUUUUUAACGCAGUCAGGCUUUCCCAGUGCACUUAGUGAACUUUCCAAUAGGUCUUGUUUGCAUUUCAGUGUUAAAUGAGGCCUAGGAGAUUAUCCAAUAAAGGCCCUCUCCUUUUCUAGUGGGUGUUUUGAAUGCUUUAUUUGAAUUUUGGAAGUUAAGAGGAUAAACCAAAUAAUGGCUAGAUAGCUUUAUAAUGGAAACUCACCUUGAUUACAUGAAAUAUUAGUGAUAUUGAAGGUAAUUAGGGUGCUUUUUAACCCUCACCCUAUUCUAGAGAAGGUUUUAAAAGCGUGUGGCAGGAGGGCCACACUUCCCAAGUCAUGAUCUAAGCCUGUCUGAAGUUCGUAGUCAGUGAGGGGGUAGUUUGAGCUGUCAGAACUAAAACAUCACAACUCUGGGGCAUUUGGUGUACUGGCUGCUUCUGACUUUCUACGCAGAAUGACAGAAACGUGGGCUUACAUGGUUCAUGGGUAUAUGGGUGUCUUACAUAACUCUGUGUCCAGAAUAUUUCAUAGUAAUAUUCUGUGUUGCUUAUAAAUGAGAAAAACCUUUUAAAGUCCUGAUUAGAAAACAGUGACUGCUAAUAAUGCCAAGACAGUUACUCUUUUAGGGUAAUACUUUUUAAGAAAAUUAUUUCCUAAUUGAAGAAUAUAAGGUUGAGGGUUUAAAAUUAAGUUCAUCAUUUCUUCUGUUUCUGCAUUAUAGUGGCCUGUUCGGCGCAGGAAUUUUUAGAUGACUAGAUAUAAUUAGAUUUCGAAACAAAUGUCUCUUAUCUACACUCCCUAAUUUAGAAAAAUCAAUCUUUAAAAGAUUUUUUAAAAAUUCUUUCUCUCCUUUAAAGAUUAUCUAGUUUUAACCAAUUAAGUAUUUUAUUAUCUCCUUCCUUAAACAGUGUGUAUAUAUGGAUCGAGCUAAUAGCCAUAGCUAACUAACUUUUGAAUUAUAAAAAUUAUUUCUGCGAGUUCCCUUCAUGGCUCAGUGGUUAAUGAAUCCAGCUAGGAACCAUGAGGUUGCAGGUUCGAUCCCUGGCCUUGCUCAGUGGGUUAAGGAUCUCGCGUGGCCGUAAGCUGUGGUGUAGGUCACAGACGCUGCUUGGAUCCCACGUGGCUGUGGCUGUGGCUUAGGCCAGCGACUACAGCUCUGAUUGGAACCCUGACUUGGGAACCUCCAUAUGCUCUUUUUGCCCUAGAAAAGGC